CUCACGUCAGAGACUAGCGACUGCACGCCGUGGGCUGAGAGCAUCGCGAGAGAUGAGAGCUGCUGGCACGGAUCAAUUACACCUCCAAAGAAGCGUCCAGCCUAGAGAUAACUGGCCAGGGUCAAAAAUACCAAAUAGGAUGAGAGCGAAGAGGAUACAGCUAACAGACAGCAGAGCAGAGGGAAGCAUGGGUACGGCACGAGCAUGGGCACGCAGAUGCUGUACAUGGUGCUUUAUGAUGCUCGGACUUUGACGAAUCCGAAAAGGAUGGAUAUUUUAUUUCUUUGACUGUCUUUUGGAGGGAAGGCAUCCCCGAAGAGAUCUGUUGCCUGCUUUGUUUUCCAAAUCUUGGUACACAGCACUCGAUCCUGAUAAAGAAAGAUGCUGUAAAUGGUGUCA